GGGCUAUAAUGCAGUCGACGCUUUGUGGUUUAACUGAUUUGAAGAGCUUGCUCAGAUAUGACGAUGGACAUUGCAAAGAGUGGCGAACGGGUGAGUAACACGUGGGAAACCUACCUCUUAGCAGGGGAUAACAUUUGGAAACAGAUGCUAAUACCGUAUAACAAUGACAACCGCAUGGUUGUUAUUUAAAAGAUGGUUCUGCUAUCACUAAGAGAUGGUCCCGCGGUGCAUUAGCUAGUUGGUAAGGUAAUGGCUUACCAAGGCGAUGAUGCAUAGCCGAGUUGAGAGACUGAUCGGCCACAAUGGGACUGAGACACGGCCCAUACUCCUACGGGAGGCAGCAGUAGGGAAUCUUCCACAAUGGGCGAAAGCCUGAUGGAGCAACGCCGCGUGUGUGAUGAAGGGUUUCGGCUCGUAAAACACUGUUGUAAGAGAAGAAUGACAUUGAGAGUAACUGUUCAAUGUGUGACGGUAUCUUACCAGAAAGGAACGGCUAAAUACGUGCCAGCAGCCGCGGUAAUACGUAUGUUCCAAGCGUUAUCCGGAUUUAUUGGGCGUAAAGCGAGCGCAGACGGUUAUUUAAGUCUGAAGUGAAAGCCCUCAGCUCAACUGAGGAAUUGCUUUGGAAACUGGAUGACUUGAGUGCAGUAGAGGAAAGUGGAACUCCAUGUGUAGCGGUGAAAUGCGUAGAUAUAUGGAAGAACACCAGUGGCGAAGGCGGCUUUCUGGACUGUAACUGACGUUGAGGCUCGAAAGUGUGGGUAGCAAACAGGAUUAGAUACCCUGGUAGUCCACACCGUAAACGAUGAGUGCUAGGUGUUUGAGGGUUUCCGCCCUUAAGUGCCGCAGCUAACGCAUUAAGCACUCCGCCUGGGGAGUACGACCGCAAGGUUGAAACUCAAAGGAAUUGACGGGGACCCGCACAAGCGGUGGAGCAUGUGGUUUAAUUCGAAGCAACGCGAAGAACCUUACCAGGUCUUGACAUCCCUUGACAACUCCAGAGAUGGAGCGUUCCCUUCGGGGACAAGGUGACAGGUGGUGCAUGGUUGUCGUCAGCUCGUGUCGUGAGAUGUUGGGUUAAGUCCCGCAACGAGCGCAACCCUUAUUACUAGUUGCCAGCAUUCAGUUGGGCACUCUAGUGAGACUGCCGGUGACAAACCGGAGGAAGGUGGGGAUGACGUCAAAUCAUCAUGCCCCUUAUGACCUGGGCUACACACGUGCUACAAUGGCGUAUACAACGAGUUGCCAACCCGCGAGGGUGAGCUAAUCUCUUAAAGUACGUCUCAGUUCGGAUUGUAGGCUGCAACUCGCCUACAUGAAGUCGGAAUCGCUAGUAAUCGCGGAUCAGCACGCCGCGGUGAAUACGUUCCCGGGUCUUGUACACACCGCCCGUCACACCAUGAGAGUUUGUAACACCCAAAGCCGGUGGGGUAACCUUCGGGAGCCAGCCGUCUAAGGGACCGGU
rnacentral:rRNA from 1 species